rnacentral:rRNA from 1 species
CCUACGGGAGGCAGCAGUGGGGAAUAUUGCACAAUGGGGGAAACCCUGAUGCAGCGACGCCGCGUGAGUGAAGAAGUAAUUCUUUAUGUAAAGCUCUAUCAGCAGGGAAGAAAAUUACGGUACCUGAGUAAGAAUCCCCGGCUAACUACGUGCCAGCCGCCGCGGUAAUACGUAGGGGGCAAGCGUUAUCCGGAUUUACUGGGUGUAAAGGGAGCGUAGACGGAAGUGCAAGUCUGGAGUGAAAGGCGGGGGCUCAACCCCCGGACUGCUCUGGAAACUGUAAGGCUGGAGUGCAGGAGAGGUAAGUGGAAUUCCUAGUGUAGCGGUGAAAUGCGUAGAUAUUAGGAGGAACACCAGUGGCGAAGGCGGCUUACUGGACUGUAACUGACGUUGAGGCUCGAAAGCGUGGGGAGCAAACAGGAUUAGAUACCCCGGUAGUC